AGACUUCUACAUUUUCACCACUUCCACAUGCUUCCUACACUAUUUCAGGAAUAGAAAAUCCACAAAUAUCUGUAUGUAUAAUUAACUGUAAGGAUGAGACCUCACUGAUUUGACAAGAUAUUGUUCUUUCAGAUCAGGACUGGGAGAUCCUAAAAGCCUGAGCAAGGUACAUAUAUGGAAAUGAGGAUAUGAAGCAGAGCAAAGCUCUGUCAACAGAGACAGACGGAGGUGACAUACAUUGUGGAUCUUGCAUGUCAUCCUGCCUAGACUUUGGAGGAGGCUCUGCACUGAUUCAUGCCUGCAGUCAUGGAAGGACAUGCACCGUAUGAUGCUUCUUACUCUUCUAGAAAUGCACACAGAUGACAGCUCACAGAAGUUUGCAGAAGAACAGAAGAUUUCACAUAUUAACAGGCAUCAUAUAAUGUAAAUAUUCUGUUUUAAAAGAAUAAGCCAUGUGAUUAGGCAGAAAAAGAGCUCUGUGGUAUCUGAGUCUUUGAUGAAGAGCAGAGAGAUUUUAUCAGCUCUUUGAUGCAAAAUUAUCAAGGAGAGAGAUGAAACUGAAGGACAAAAUAUUAAAGUCACCUUUUGCUUAUGUUGAAAUCCCUCACCAUAAAAAAGUGGUGUACAGGUGGCAGAUUUAUAAAGCAAAAUUAUUUUUAGAAAAGGGAAUUUAAUAAAGAAAAUAUGUUAAUUGAGUUGUUUGAAAAGUGUGCAAUGGCUCAUUUAUCAGUAUAAAAAUCUCAAGUGUAUACAUGCGCGUGCAAUUUUAUUUGUCCAGGUGAAGAAUUAAUUGCCUUCAUUAUGAAGAAAAUAAUAUUACUGAGGGGAAAAUAAAUUAUGAAAUAUAGAAUGAAGCAAAAGCUCAUAGACAAUCAAAUGAAAAAUAUUUUUUGUAUCCUUUAUAUGAAUUCAAAGCAGUAUCUUUUUUCAAUGUAACAUGUCACAUCAAGCCAUAAGCAUGAUGGCCUGGGUAGCUGUUAGUUUAAAAUUGUUACUUAGUAUUUUUUUAUCCCACAGACAAAUUCUGAGUUGAUUCUUUCAGACUCUAAAUGAAGGACAAAAUCUAACCUUGAGCAAUGCCCCAUUUCUUAUGUGUUUGUUCUUUCACUCUGUUAUGUACUCAACAACAGAGGGUUUUGUUUUGCUUUGUGAUGUUUUUUGGUUUUGUAGGGGUUUAGUUUGUUGGGUUUUUUUAUCUAGGGAUAAAGACAGUCCCUAGGAAACAGAUGUCUCUCCCUUCUGUGAGAUGGAAGUAAAGGUGGCUAUAGGAUUAUAUAACCCCUUUCAGUUUGUUUGAGUUAAAAGCCAGAGGGGAGCUGUCUUUUUGUGCUUCCCUUUGCUCCCUGCUAUGGAAGGAUAGAAGGAGACAUUGUAAGUCAAGAACUGCUAACACUGCAGGCCUUUAACAGGCUAUAACAUACACUGAGUGGCAGCACUCUAUGCUCAGAAAACAGCUGUGCACACUGCUUCAAUGAGAGGGUAAAACUGCAGGACUGCCUUGUCAGCAACUAAAGGUAUCUCCUGCCUUAACAAUAUAGCCAGUGUAUUGAGAUUUCUUCAUGCCAUUCACAAAGAAUUGCAGCAGCAUGGAAUCUACUAUGCAGGAGUGUGUUAUGUGCCUGUGUGAGUUUAUGUGUCUUCUCUGCCAAAAACUUUGGAGGAAAUUCUUCAGGGAAACUCUGAGGAGGAAUAAAUAUGUCUAUCUACCUUUAACCAACAUGGCUCAGUUUUGUAACUGAUUAAUGUGGACUAAAAGAAUCUUUUUUUUUUAAUAAAGCAGCUGUGUUUAUCUUUUCUAAUGUAAUAGAUUAUAUUUCCUAGUUUAAUAGAGUGAACUCAUUAGCUAUAAAAAUGUCUAAUGCUUUAGAACUUACUGCCUUCCAUGUCUUUUCCCAUUUGUUUUAGGCAGACAUGCACGUAACACCCCUCAUCCAAAUAAAUUUAAUGUUGUGACACAAAGUGACAGAAGUAUAUAAGUCCCAAGAUAUUGCCAAGAUAUUACAUAAAAGAGGAUUACUUACAGUGUUUGGAAGCAUCAAAGGCUAACAUA